GUCGCGGGGUCUUUGGUGGUCUUCUUCAGCCGCGGAGCGUCUCGCCUUCGGCCGCUCCGAGAAACGCGGCGGUGACGCAACGGCACGGGGGGAUUUCACUAGUCCCGGGCGAUGCAAAGUUUAUCAUCUCCAAAUUAUUUUCAAAACACUGCAUACAAAGGACUCAUCACAGGCUCAAUACAGGAGAGGUAAGAACCAACUGACACACUCACAAUGUCAGGCGAACAAACAAGAAGGAAAAAAAAGACCAAAGAGAGAGAGAGAGAGAGAGAGAGAGCUCUGUAACAGAAAAAAGUCAAAAAAUAAACACACUCCUUUUUAAAAUUAUUAUGAAAAAAUACAAACAAUUUUACAAAUAUUCAUAUUGUGUAAUAAACCAUUUACACUUAGUUCAGCACACCAGGUGAACUUUUUCUUUUUUUUUCUUUUUUUAAAUAACUCAUGUCGCUACAAUGUAUCCUGUUUUGUGUUUCAUCAAGUGGAAGAUUUUUUUAAAUUUUUUAUUUUUUAGAUUUUUGUUUUUUUGUCAUUUUUCUUUUUUGCACACGUAAACAAAAAUGUAUUCCAAUUGGACAGUUGACUGUAGAUGAGGUAACGCUCACGCUCACACACACACACACACACACACACACACACCUGCUCAAACACACUCGCUCACACACAGUGCACAACACCAGGAAAGUCACGACUACAGAAAUGAAAUGCAUCAACAGUACGAGAAGGCCACAAUCAUGACUGAGUAAAUAGUAUGAAACGUGAACAAAAACUACAUUAAAAUUACAAUGACUUCAUUGUCACUGUGGAAUUAUAACGCACCAUAAAGAAUAUGGAUGGUCUACACACUAUUAAGAUCAAGGUGACAGGAUUAACAGCUGGAAUGAGUGUGAAAAUGUUUCGAUUUUAUGCAUAAAAUGUAAACUCAACCUUUCGCCUUUUACAAAAAUUCUAGAACCAAAAUUACAAAGCCAUAUAGACAAUUUAAAAAGCUUUUCCCAUCGGAGCCAUAAGCUAGAGCAGAAAUCAAUCAUGAUGGGGAAAAAAAAAAAAAAUUCAAUGAUAUGUAUCUCGAAUGCAUAUAAAAAGGCUUCCUAACAGCAAAAUGUUUGCAGUCUCUUUGGGUAUACUGACUUAAGAACUUGAAUGUGUGGCUUUCAGAAGUUCCCUCCCCUUACUUCUAAAGGCCCCUCCCACAACAGAUUACAUGCACUCUGCAAGAUAAGCCAUUGAAGACCAUAACUUCUCACAACCACUGGUACCCCCACCCCGCCCCGCGCCCCAAGAUAACAAUAACAUUCAGCAUGGUGUGCUAGCAAAGGCAGACUUGAAUGAAAGUAACGGUCCAUGAGAUUCAUACACAGCUGAAACGCCACAUUUCCAUGUUCCAAAGAGCCCAGAAUUGUGGCCAGCAAAUAAUUCCCAUCUGUAACUGUACAUGAAUAAACUAUUUUCUACAGAUGCCAUUGUGAAAGUGUAUAUUGUUCAUAAUUUAAACAACAAAACAAAUGCAAGUGUAUUUAAGAGAUGUACAUAUGUAUACUGUUUCGUUUUGGCAUCAUCUUCGCCAGACAUGUAAAAAGGAAAGUGACACAAAGUUCACAUAAAAAUCUUUACAAAAUAAACUCAAAACUAAAUGCAUAUUAAAAAAGUUUGACAAAACUUAUAAAAAAUUUGCAUAAGAAGGCAUGCUUUUUGUUGAACUGAUUGGACAGGUUGGUGUUCUGGGGGUUUGAGUCUAUCCAAUCAGAUUGCAGGUUUUCUUUGAUCCGCUCAGCCUUGCUAAUAGUCAAGGCUGAAAUCUAAAUACCUGAUUCAGGUACAAGUCCAGUACUCUAACUCAGUGACCGAAGGAGAGAUGAAGAACAUGAUGCUAAUAAGAAAGGGUGCAAGUUGUUUUAAGAGCAGAGUGUUAUGUAUGACAUUAAGUAAUAGUCACUGGCCUGAACAGUCCUGUUUUGUGAUACACGAGAAAAAAAAAAUCUCUUGAAUCACACACUACAAAAGAACUUAAAACGAGCAGACACUUAAGUAUUUUUUUGGGGGGGGAAAUGAGUAAUACUUAGGACAUUCCUAUAAAAGUGCAUAAAGACAGGAAACCAUGACUUCCUAAACUUCCAGAACUUUUUUCCAAUGAAUGUCAAUCCAAAAAACACAUUUUUUUUGUCACAAGUUUCACACACCUAAUAUUUUGGUAGCACAGAGUGCUCUGAUAAACCAAUGAAUUCAUUUAAAACACAUUAUAAGGACCAAUUUUGUGCAACCACUUAGAUACUUUUGUUCAGAGUAUUAAAAAGCUCAAGGCAACUCCUUAAAAUAUAGCUUACCUAUUCUGAAGGGGCUCUUUAACUUCACAGCAGAUAACUAGAUUAAGUAAAGACAGACAGGACUACACCAACACAAGCACAUCACUAAAACCAUUUCAAUUUAACCAAAUGAAAUUACAACAAAUGUGCUUCUAAUCAAGGUUAACUGAGUGACUUUUACAGAGAGAGGGAAAUGGGACCAGUUUAUGAAAUUAAAUUCAGUAUGUAAAAGGUUGAAGGCACUCUGGGCACCUGUACAAGAAGGAAUAAAAGUAGUUUUCUUUAAAUAUUCUCAAGACUGACAAUGGUGACUUUUGGAAGGCCUUAAAUAUUCACGUCGGUAUGUUAUGCCACAAUGGACGCCAUGAUAUGAAUGUUUAUCCGUUAUUACCCAGUCUUGGCUCAAAGGGUAACAGGGCAUUAUGGGAAUGUAUUAAGGAUAAGUAUGUGAAUUUUCACAGUAGAUUGUGAGAAAUUGCAGCACAUUGUUGAUAUAACCAAGACCCCAUCCACUAAGAAUCACAAACUGGGUUUUAAAGCCAUGAAAUCCUGACUAAUCAAGAUAAAUCCAUCAUUCAAAACUAACAAAACAGUAAACAUCAUCCCAAACAGAAUCCAUGUUGUGGUAGGUUCUCUCUCAUGUUUAAACAGCCAGAAUGACCUAUGCUUCUUUUUAAGUAAUCUUGAAUAAAUGUGCACUACUGUAUACAUACAGUCAAAAUAAGCACUUACUAAGAUGCCCUAAACGGAUACGUGGAAUUUGAUAUGUGUUCAAUCCUAGCCUGAGCGGCUAUCCUCACAAAGCUAAAAGGGAUAUGCUUUUUUGGAAUGGCCUGACAUUAACAUAACAUAAAAGGUGCCAGCCGUGCAUUACUUUUAAGACUUAAGACGUUACCUGGGACAUUAUAAGAUACUAUGCGAUACAACGCGAUACAACAAAAAAAGCCAACAAAAACCAACAGAAGACUGUCAUAAACAGUGCUUCCCACUUUGAUUUUACAGGAUGUUGAAAAAUUUAAAGACGAACAGAAAAGAUUUAAGCGCUUUUUGAAAAAUUUGCUCAAAAAGUCUCUUAAUAGGUUGUUAGUGCGUUUGCUUAAGUUAUCUGCAAUAAAGCUUGUGCUUUAAUUAAGGGUUUUCUGUUGUUUCCUUAUUACUGAAUUUGGCUCAUACAUCAAACCCUCAAGUUUAAGACAGCAAAUUGUGACUUAGUCAUUAUUGUUUUUCAAGAAACAAAAAGGUUUUGGAAAAAUGGGGAUAGGACAAGUCCAAUAUAUUCAGACUAAACACAGUAAGAGGAUAUUUCAAUUAUUUUCCAAAAAAAACAAAACUAAAGAAUUUGGCAGUUUGGAAUUACAAAAACAAUAACAACAACAACAA